rnacentral:rRNA from 1 species
UACAGAGGGUGCGAGCGUUAAUCGGAAUUACUGGGCGUAAAGCGCGCGUAGGCGGCUUUGCAAGUCGGGUGUGAAAUCCCCAGGCUUAAACCUGGGGAACUGCAUUCGAGACUGCAUUGCUAGAGUAUGGGAGAGGGAAGUGGAAUUUCCGGUGUAGCGGUGAAAUGCGUAGAUAUCGGAAGGAACAUCAGUGGCGAAAGCGACUUCCUGGACCAAUACUGACGCUCAUGUGCGAAAAGCGUGGGGAGCAAACAGG